rnacentral:rRNA from 1 species
AUGGAACAAGAUGCAAGAUGGAGAUUCUUACAACCGAUCGGGCGCAUCGCACGGAAACGUCAAAAAAUGGCGCUGUCCAUGGGGAACUCCUCGAAGCUCCAGAGGCUGACGCCCUCCAUGCCACUGUCCACGCCGAGGGCAUCCUGGAUGACGGCGUCGCCGGCGAAGAGGCUGUCGAUGGAUUCGUACGUGUCCGAGCAGGGGAGCUGGAACAGCAUGAACGGAUCGAACCCCAGCAUGGCAUCGCCGCCGCUCCCAUCCGACGAAUCCUCAUCGACCAUCGGCUUCUUCGCGCCAGUGUCGGCGAAGGAGCUUGCCAUGACAGGCGGUAGCGUGGUGAAAGCAGUGGUCAGGUCGACGAAGGCGUCCAUGUCGAAAGACUCCAUCAGCUCAGGCUUGGCCACCAUAGCGUCCCGCUCCUUCUGUGCGUGUGCAGCAGAGUACGCCGUCGUCCGCGCAGGGGGGCACUGCCGUUUCGAAGCGGUUCUCCGGCUGGCACGUUGCAGGCGCGCCCCAGCCCUGGUCCCGUUGGGGAAGUUGACUUUGGCCUUGCUGCCACGGAGGCGGUGGGCGGCGACGUCGUAG